GGGGCAUUAGCACAGAUGGUAGCGCGCGACAUUCGCAUUGUCGAGGUCAGGGGUUCGAAUCCCCUAUGCUCCACCA
rnacentral:tRNA from 1 species